rnacentral:rRNA from 1 species
GACGAACGCUGGCGGCAUGCCUAACACAUGCAAGUCUAGGGGUAGCAAUACCACUGGCGCACGGGUGAGUAACACGUAGGUUAUCUGCCCCCAUCACAGACAUAACCCCGGGGAACCGGGGCUAAUAUCUGAUGAGGUCGCGAGAUCAAAGCUUCGGCGGAUGGGGAUGAGCCUGCGGCUGAUUAGCUAGUUGGUGAGGUAAUGGCUCACCAAGGCGACGAUCAGUAGCUGGUCUGAGAGGACGAACAGCCACACUGGAACUGAGACACGGUCCAGACUCCUACGGGAGGCAGCAGUGAGGAAUAUUGGUCAAUGGGAGCAAUCCUGAACCAGCAAUGCCGCGUGUGGGAUGACAGGGCUUCGCCUUGUAAACCACUGUCGGACGGGACGAAAGGAGGCCUCGGGGCCUCUGGGACGGUACCGUCAAAGGAAGGGUCGGCUAACUACGUGCCAGCAGCCGCGGUAAU